UCCUCCUAUCAUUCAUACCUACCUCUUCCAUCUAUGCCCAAUAUCUGUAUCUCCAGAUCUCAUCUUCGUAGUUUAUCUUCUUCAAAUUUCAUGUUCAGAUCUGUGUAGAUCGGUUUUCGAUCUACCUUUUGAAUAUGGUUGUGCUGUGUUUCUGUAACAGCUCAGCCAUUGAUCAACCGAGCUGUGUAACUGUUCGAUUUCCGUCGACUAUGGCCGUUGAUUGACGAGGAGCUUGUAGAUCUGAUGCUUUUCGCAAUGGCUCGAUGUAGGUGAGCAUCAGAUCUGUUUGGUCUUCAGAGAUAUGUUGAAGUUGGAUCAGUAGUUUGAGCAACCAAGGUGUUAUUUUACCGAGGCUUCAACCGUAGUUUGCUAGAGCUUUACCGAUCUGAAUAGAGAUGCAAGGACUACUGAAUCGUUGCUGCCGUCGUUUUGAGUCAAUCGGUUUGGACCGGUGAUCAUCGGUCGGGGAUUGAAAUCUGCUAGCGUGAUGGUGUAUCUAAGGUUAUAAUAGUUUAAUUUGAUGUCUAUAAUUAUUUGAAUGGCUCAUGUGCAUUAUUUUUUCAUUUUAUGCAUGCAUAUGUACGAGAGGAUGAAAGAUUGAGUGACUUUGUGUGAGAUAUGAGAGGAAAAAGUGAGGUAUUUAUUGUUCAUGUUACCAGGCCUUUGCCAUGUUGGGUGCGCUCACAUGGCAGGUCAAAAGUACCUAAUAAAAGUAUUUAUUUUCGGUGUUGGGGAGAGGAGACGGCACGGAGUUUUGCCCGGCUCUCCUCUCUUCGUCUGUCUGCUUCUUUUUUAUUUUUUCCUGUUCUUUCCUUGCUCCUGCGUUCAAAAACUUUGCGUCGAUCAGUGGUUACUUGUCGUUGAAUAGGCCUUGUGAUUACUGUUGUGUAUUUUGAGGCGAGGCCUAUUCAAGGACAAGUAAUUCAUGUUGAUUUGCUCACCACGGUGAUGGACACAAGCAACGUUUCUACUGCAGCACGUCACUAGAGGUACAAUAUCAAUUCUCUUAGUUUAAGUUAACUUUCACAUUUUUCAUAAUAUUAGUCAAUUCUAAAAUAAUUGCCUUAAUUAUUCCCAUUUUUCACAUUUUUCAUAAUAUGAGUAUUAGUUACUUUAGAAUAUAUUUUGGCCGCUGUUAAUUGGCUUGUGAACUUGCCAAUUUGAGCACCUCAUAAUAUUCCCACAAAGUGGUUUAAUAAAAUUUAUGCUCCUAAAUAGGAUCCCUAAUUCAUGAUGUUCCAUGAAAAUGGUAAUUACACCUUUAUUGGUUAUGGUAAGCUUAUGUUUUAAUGAAAUCUGAAAAUGGAACCAACUGUUAGUUGCGAUUGGUCAUGGAGCAUAAAAUUAGAAUUGGUAUUGCAAAGUUGUAUCUAAGCUCCUUAUUAUUCUCUAAUAAGGUUUGAUCUCGUUGUUUAAGCCUAAAGUUUCCCCAGAUAUUUAAGAAACUAUAAUCAGUAGUGAUAUUGGAAUAGUAAUUGGUUUAUUUAUCUAUAUGGUGGAUAAAAUAGCGGAAUUAACAAGCUGUCAUCUUACGAAAUGUUGCGGAAAUUCAUGGUGUUAUUACAAAAGCUCGCGAAACUGAAACUUCCAUUUUCAUUAAUUCUGCAUAUUCAACUUAAUUCGGUAUUCUCCUUUUAUAUAUACCAAUUUUUGAUUACUUAGUAAAUAAUACCUAGUUAUUUAGUAUUCAUGAGUUAUUGUUUUUAAGUAGUCAUGUCUUCUUUGGCAAGAGUCUAGUCGGUGCUUAGCUGUGUUCUCUUGAUCUAUGAUGUAAUAGUUUCAUUCCAAUGGGAGUUCUUUGUUAUGGUACCCCUGUUGUAGUUUUUUGGGAGGGGUACCUUGUGUAGGCAGGUUUGGAACUUUGACCUUAAAAACAAUUCAGUGUAUUCCGGUUAGAUUUGAUGCAUAUCAAAUGAUGGUGGGUGGCCGUUCCUUCCAAUAAGCUGGAGGCGCAUUGGUGCUGACUGAAGUUCAAAUUUUUGGUGCUGCAUCUUGACAUAUAGUGCUGCUUCUAGUGAUUGUGAAGCUUUGUUCACCCGUGAUCAUCAAGUAAUGGACCUGCUGCUGCUGUUGAAGAUUUGAUGGCCUGUGUUGUGCUUUCUGCUCCAGCAAGUCUCAACAUUGGUUGGUUUUACAAGUCGUUUCAUCCAAGAUGAAGUGUGACGGAAGAUGUUAGAGCUUGUUGCUGUUGCUUGUUUGGGUCUGUGGUUUUCAUUAUGUUUGCGAGCUGUGAGCAAAAGUUUCAACACCAGUUGGUUUUGCAAGCAGGUUCAUCCAAGAUGAAGUGUCAGACGGAGGUUGUCAAGUCUGUAUAUCCCAAAGAAUUUAAAGAAGCGUAUUUUCUGAAUGGAAAACUGAAGCUAGCUCAUUUGAAGAGUUGGUAUGGUAUUUCUUUUUGGAAGUAUUUUCUCAGGAAAACCUUGUAACAGGCAACAAGCAACUGAUAUCUAGUCUUGAACUGUGUUGUGCUUUCUGGCAUUCUGAGGGCAUGAAUAAUUUAAUUGCCUGCCUGCAAACCGGACCGUUCCUCAUGUUUGUAAGAAUGUGGCAUUACCAGUUUUUACACAGGCGGUCUGCUGUUGCGAAUCCGCCGGUUCGACUGUCCAGUCAUAAGAUUGUCUUUGUAGUAUAGAGGUACAGUUUGGGGAGACCGUUAAUUCCCCUUGAUAAUUUGGUUUCAGAUUGGCAUUGUAUUUAUUAGUAGAAGGGAACUUGCAUGCAGGAUACAUUUUUGCAAUAUUUCUUGACACAGUACGGUUGGGUGACGUGGUAGUCUUGGGCAGUACAUGUUCAUCUUUUUAAUAAGUUAUAAUAUUUUAGAUUAUUAUUAUUAUUAUUAUUA